UACAGUAAAUCAACACCUUUCACGCUUCUGUCGUUUUGUUUGUUUUAAUUUUUAUUUUUUUUUUAAGUUUCACUGAGUAACAUUAAUUUAACAGAUCGUACUUCAUAAUAUAAAAGUUUAAGCACUCGAUGUCUUUAAAAAAGAUAAGCAAAAAAUAUCUCGUAAUGCGGCUUUUGCACAACCGAAAAUUUUAUUGCAUACACAAGAAUACGUUCAAAAAUAAAUCAGUGGGAAGCAUAACAACACCUAUUUUCUUGCUUUUAAAUAGAUACAUGUGUAUUUACGUAGAAACCACUCAAAUCGCGGAAUGAAUUCUCAAUUCAGAAGAAGUUUACAACGUGAUUUUAAAGCCAAAGAAAUGCACUUGAUUAAAAAACUGACGAAAACAUUAAUCCGGAUCAACGGCGCAGUUGAUGGCAGAAUUAAGUCUUAAGCGAGCCAAAAGAAAUAUUUUUUUCCGCAUGGUCAGGAGUUCGAG